UUGACGGACUGAAGGCUCUUUCUCGAUUCCGUGGAAAGUGGUGCAUGGCCGUUUUGGUUGGUGGAUCGAUCCGUCUGGUUAAUUCCGUUAACGAACGAGACCUCGGCACUCCGAAUAGCGCGGCGGACGUCGCGGCCUCCGGGCCGUCUUCCGCACGAGCUUCUUAGAGGGACCGUCCCCCGCCGGGGAAGGAGGUGCGAGGCAACGACAGGUCUGUGAUGCCCUUAGAUGUUCUGGGCCGCACGCGCAUUACACUGACGCGUCCAACGGGUGACUCCCGACCCGAAGGGGCCGGGGAAUCCGCAAGGCGCGUCGUGAUGGGGAUUGAACGUUGCAAUUGUUGUUCACGAACGAGGAAUUCCUAGUAGGCGCGGGUCAUCAACCCCGCGCCGAUUACGUCCCUGCCCUUUGUACACACCGCCCGUC
rnacentral:rRNA from 1 species